ensembl:miRNA aca-mir-5423 aca-mir-5423
ACAACUCUAAUAUCUUGUAGUUGUGAACUCCACAGUCUUACUAUGUGUUGUGUUCUAGAAGACUGUAGGAUGUUGGUGUGGU